GACGAACGCUGGCGGCGUGCUUAACACAUGCAAGUCGAACGGAAAGGCCCUGCUUUUGUGGGGUGCUCGAGUGGCGAACGGGUGAGUAACACGUGAGUAACCUGCCCUUGACUUUGGGAUAACUUCAGGAAACUGGGGCUAAUACCGGAUAGGAGCUCCUGCUGCAUGGUGGGGGUUGGAAAGUUUCGGCGGUUGGGGCUGGACUCGCGGCUUAUCAGCUUGUUGGGGGGGUAGUGGCUUACCAAGGCUUUGACGGGUAGCCGGCCUGAGAGGGUGACCGGCCACAUUGGGCCUGAGAUAGGGACCAGACUCGUACGGGAGGCAGCAGUGGGGAAUAUUGCACAAUGGGGGGAAGUCUGAUGCAGCAACGCCGCGUGCGGGAUGAAGGCCUUCGGGUUGUAAACCGCUUUCGCCUGUGACGAAGAGUGAGUGACGGUAAUGGGUAAAGAAGCACCGGCUAACUACGUG
rnacentral:rRNA from 1 species